UACAGAGGUCCCGAGCGUUGUUCGGAUUCACUGGGCGUAAAGGGUACGUAGGUGGCUGGAAAAGUUUGAUGUGAAAGCUCAGGGCUUAACCCUGAAAUGGCAUUGAAUACUGUCGAGCUGGAGGUUUGGAGGGGGGACUGGAAUUCUUGGUGUAGCAGUGAAAUGCGUAGAUAUUGGGAGGAACACCAGUGGCGAAGGCGGCUCACUGGACCGGUACUGACGCUGAUGCGCGAAAGCGUGGGGAGCAAACGGG
rnacentral:rRNA from 1 species